rnacentral:rRNA from 1 species
AGGGCCGCGGUAAUUUGACCGUGCGAAGGUAGCAUAGUCACUAGUCUUUUAAUUGGAGGCUUGUAUGAAUGGUUGGAUGAGGGAUAUACUGUCUUUUUUUAAAUUAAAAAUUUAACUUUUAAGUGAAAAGGCUUAAAUUUAUUAGGGGGACGAUAAGACCCUAUAAAACUUAAUAUGAGCUUAACUAAACAAAUUAAUUUAGUUUAAGAUUAUUUAUUUUUGUUUAUAUUUCGUUGGGGCGACGAUAAUAAAAUCUGUAACUGUUUUUAAAAUUAAAUAAUUAUAAUUAGUUUAUGAUCCUUUAUUAAAGAUUAAAAGAUUAAGUUACUUUAGGGAUAACAGCGUAAUUUUCUCUGAGAGUUCUUAUCGACGAGUAUAGUUGCGACCUCGAUGUUGAAUUAAAAUUUCAGAUUGGUGUAGCCGCUUUUCUAGUAGGUCUGUUCGACCUUUAAAAUUUU